rnacentral:rRNA from 1 species
UACGGGGGGAGCAAGCGUUGUUCGGAUUUACUGGGCGUAAAGGGCGCGUAGGCGGCCACCGCAAGUCGACUGUGAAAUCUCCGGGCUUAACCCGGAAAGGUCAGCCGAUACUGCGGGGCUAGAGUGCAGGAAGGGGCAACUGGAAUUCUCGGUGUAGCGGUGAAAUGCGCAGAUAUCAGGAAGAACACCCGUGGCGAAGGCGGCUCUCUGGGACGGUACUGACGCUGAGACGCGAAAGCGUGGGGAGCGAACAGG